CCUAACACAUGCAAGUCGAGCGGAUGAAGAGAGCUUGCUCUCUGAUUCAGCGGCGGACGGGUGAGUAAUGCCUAGGAAUCUGCCUGGUAGUGGGGGACAACGUCUCGAAAGGGACGCUAAUACCGCAUACGUCCUACGGGAGAAAGCAGGGGACCUUCGGGCCUUGCGCUAUCAGAUGAGCCUAGGUCGGAUUAGCUAGUUGGUGAGGUAAUGGCUCACCAAGGCGACGAUCCGUAACUGGUCUGAGAGGAUGAUCAGUCACACUGGAACUGAGACACGGUCCAGACUCCUACGGGAGGCAGCAGUGGGGAAUAUUGGACAAUGGGCGAAAGCCUGAUCCAGCCAUGCCGCGUGUGUGAAGAAGGUCUUCGGAUUGUAAAGCACUUUAAGUUGGGAGGAAGGGCAGUAAAUUAAUACUUUGCUGUUUUGACGUUACCGACAGAAUAAGCACCGGCUAACUCUGUGCCAGCAGCCGCGGUAAUACAGAGGGUGCAAGCGUUAAUCGGAAUUACUGGGCGUAAAGCGCGCGUAGGUGGUUUGUUAAGUUGGAUGUGAAA
rnacentral:rRNA from 1 species